rnacentral:rRNA from 1 species
AUUGAACGCUGGCGGCAUGCCUUACACAUGCAAGUCGAACGGUAACGCGGGGGCAACCCUGGCGACGAGUGGCGAACGGGUGAGUAAUACAUCGGAACAUAUCCAGUAGCGGGGGAUAACCUAUCGAAAGAUUGGCUAAUACCGCAUACGAUCUACGGAUGAAAGCGGGGGACCGCAAGGCCUCGCACCAUUGGAGUGGCCGAUGUCAGAUUAGCUAGUUGGUGGGGUAAAAGCCUACCAAGGCGACGAUCUGUAGCUGGUCUGAGAGGACGAUCAGCCACACUGGAACUGAGACACGGUCCAGACUCCUACGGGAGGCAGCAGUGGGGAAUUUUGGACAAUGGGCGCAAGCCUGAUCCAGCCAUGCCGCGUGAGUGAAGAAGGCCUUCGGGUUGUAAAGCUCUUUCGGUGAAGACGAAACGGUUAGUGUUAAUAACACUGACUAAUGACGGUACUCACAGAAGAAGCACCGGCUAACUACGUGCCAGCCGCCGCGGUAAAAC